rnacentral:rRNA from 1 species
CCAAUAGCGUAUAUUAAAGUUGUUGCAGUUAAAAAGCUCGUAGUUGAAUUUCGGGGUUAGUAGGUUGGUCAUGCCUCUGGUAUGUACUGGUCUCACUGAUUCCUCCUUCCUGAUGAGCCGUAAUGCCAUUAAUUUGGUGUUGCGGGGAAUUUGGACUGUUACUUUGAAAAAAUUAGAGUGUUUAAAGCAAGCUAACGCUUGAAUACAUUAGCAUGGAAUAAUGAAAUAGGACGUUCGAUCCUAUUUUGUUGGUUUCUAGGAUUGACGUAAUGAUUAAUAGGGAUAGUUGGGGGCAUUAGUAUUCAAUUGUCAGAGGUGAAAUUCUUGGAUUUAUUGAAGACUAACUACUGCGAAAGCAUUUGCCAAGGAUGUUUUCAUUAAUCAAGAACGAAAGUUAGGGGAUCGAAGACGAUCAGAUACCGUCGUAGUCUUAACCAUAAACUAUGCCGACUAGGGAUCGGAUGAUGUUAAUUUUUUAAGGACUCAUUCGGCGCCUUAC